AAUGAACGCUGGCGGCAUGCCUAACACAUGCAAGUCGAACGAAGGCUUCGGCCUUAGUGGCGCACGGGUGCGUAACGCGUGGGAAUCUGCCCUCAGGUUCGGAAUAAAAGCGAGAAAUUGCUGCUAAUACCGGAUGAUAUCGCGAGAUCAAAGAUUUAUCGCCUGAGGAUGAGCCCGCGUAGGAUUAGCGAGUUGGUGUGGUAAAGGCGCACCAAGGCGACGAUCCUUAGCUGGUCUGAGAGGAUGAUCAGCCACACUGGGACUGAGACACGGCCCAGACUCCUACGGGAGGCAGCAGUGGGGAAUAUUGGACAAUGGGCGAAAGCCUGAUCCAGCAAUGCCGCGUGAGUGAUGAAGGCCUUAGGGUUGUAAAGCUCUUUUGCCCGGGAUGAUAAUGACAGUACCGGGAGAAUAAGCUCCGGCUAACUCCGUGCCAGCCGCCGCCGUAA
rnacentral:rRNA from 1 species